UACGUAGGGGGCGAGCGUUAUCCGGAUUCACUGGGUUUAAAGGGUGCGUAGGAGGUCAGGUAAGUCAGUGGUGAAAUCUCCGAGCUUAACUUGGAAACUGCCGUUGAUACUAUCUGUCUUGAAUAUUGUGGAGGUGAGCGGAAUAUGUCAUGUAGCGGUGAAAUGCUUAGAUAUGACAUAGAACACCAAUUGCGAAGGCAGCUCGCUACACAUAUAUUGACUCUGAGGCACGAAAGCGUGGGGAGCAAACAGG
rnacentral:rRNA from 1 species